rnacentral:rRNA from 1 species
GACGAACGCUGGCGGCGUGCUUAACACAUGCAAGUCGAGCGGAGCGGCGAACGGGUGAGUAACGCGUGAGUAACUGCCCCCCUCUCUGGGAUAACAGUUGGAAACGGCUGCUAAUACCAGAUAGUGGGGGAUGUCGCGCGGUCUAUCAGCUUGUUGGUGGGGUAGUGGCUUACCACGGCGACGACGGGUAGCCGGCCUGAGGGGGGGACCAGCCACAUUGGGCUGAGAUACGGCCCAAACGCCUACGGGGGGCAGCAGUGGGGAAGAUUGCACAAUGGGGGAAACCCUGAUGCAGCAACGCGCGUGCGUGAUGACGGCCUUCGGGGUGUAAACCGCUUUCAGCCAUGACGCGGUAGUGGCAGAAGAAGCACCGGCUAACUACGUGCCAGCAGCCGCGGUAAUUC